rnacentral:rRNA from 2 species
UGGGGAAUAUUGCACAAUGGGGGAAACCCUGAUGCAGCAACGCCGCGUGAGUGAUGACGGCCUUCGGGUUGUAAAGCUCUGUCUUUAGGGACGAUAAUGACGGUACCUAAGGAGGAAGCCACGGCUAACUACGUGCCAGCAGCCGCGGUAAUACGUAGGUGGCAAGCGUUGUCCGGAUUUACUGGGCGUAAAGGGAGCGUAGGCGGAUGUUUAAGUGGGAUGUGAAAUACUCGGGCUCAACUUGAGUGCUGCAUUCCAAACUGGAUAUCUAGAGUGCAGGAGAGGAAAGGAGAAUUCCUAGUGUAGCGGUGAAAUGCGUAGAGAUUAGGAAGAAUACCAGUGGCGAAGGCGCCUUUCUGGACUGUAACUGACGCUGAGGCUCGAAAGCGUGGGGAGCAAACAGG